UGAUUCCGUGUUAUUGGUUUGAAAAACAGUGCAUAAUUCACACUGAAAGUAACUCCUUCUGAAAACCGUUCGUACAGGUCAUAAAACCGAACUCCUUUUUUUAAAUGUUAAUCAGAGUGUUUAUCGAAACAAUUUCCUUAUUUCGUUCGAUAAUUACGUUGUUAGUUUUUAUUAUAGUCUUUUUAGUCUUAAUCGAAAUAAUUAUCGUACGAUUCCCCAUGUCAACUCGCCAUGUUUUAACAACAGCUGAUAGCGGUUUGUCUACAUUUUUAAAAGAAGCAUGGCCUGCAAGACAUCGAUAGUGGAAAUUUCAGCUCAACUAACGUAUGACAGAUCAUAAAGCUCAAAACGAACUCUUGUUACCACAUUACUUUUACCUGUUGAUUCGUAUGGUUUCAGCUCUUGAGGUUAACCUGUCACCUCUACCCACAUGCAUAGUCCUUGUGUUCUACAGACUAUCUACCGGUAUUUCAAAUUAAAACGGAUAAUGCAUGAACAAUAAUGGAACUUUAAGAAAGCAUCAUGCCCUAUUGUGGUUUGUUCAUGUUUGAUAAGAAAUUAUAAAAAACAAAAUUAAGGCUGUUUAAAGAAAUAUGAUUGUUGUGAAAAUUUGUUUUUCAAUGAAAGUAUGCAAUUA